rnacentral:rRNA from 1 species
ACGCGGGAUUGUUGCAUAAAUAUCCGAAGAAUUGUGGUAGGUAUAGUGAAAGACAACACUGACUAGGAAUAGCUGGUUUUCUGCGAAACCUAUGAUAGUAGGCAAUUUAAAUAAAUAUCUUAGCAGGUU